UACGAAGGGGGCUAGCGUUGCUCGGAAUCACUGGGCGUAAAGCGCGCGUAGGCGGUCUCGUAAGUCAGACGUGAAAUCCCGGGGCUCAACCUCGGAAGUGCGUCUGAUACUGCGAGACUGGAGUACUGGAGAGGAGAGCGGAAUUCCCGGUGUAGAGGUGAAAUUCGUAGAUAUCGGGAGGAACACCAGUGGCGAAGGCGGCUCUCUGGACAGAUACUGACGCUGAGGCGCGAAAGCGUGGGAAGCAAACAGG
rnacentral:rRNA from 1 species